AGUUGACUUCAAAACAUGAGCCUUCAAGACUCCAAAUAUUAUGAGAGACCUUUCUCAUUCAAAGCACUCUUGGAGCUUGAACUGGGCUUACUGUGGUCCUGGGCUGCAUAGGAAAGCAGGCUGAGCAAGACAUAGAGAGGAAGACAACAAGUACCACUCCAUGGCCUACUUCAGUUCCUGCUUUGAAUUACUGCCUUGACUUCUCAAGAUAAUGGACUACAAAUGGAUAUGGGAGGCUUGAGCAAAUACUAUGAAUCUCUCAAGGAGCUAUGGAUUACCUUAAAAGGCUAGACAACAGAGCCACGGCACAGGAAGUCUGCCCUGGAUGCUAUCCUGCUGGGAAUUGGCCCUCUGAAACAGAUCCAUCCACCCGAUGAGUCAUGACAUUAAAAAUGAUGAAGGAAAUGGACUGGUCCCCAGACAAACAGCUCGGGGCAAUACGAUUCCUGCAUCCAAAGGACUAUGGGUUACAGACACCUCUCUCUUCUGGGAUACAACGUGUAAAAGCCGGAUUGAGAUCUCUAUGCCUGUUCUUCAACUGCUGUGGCUACCACUAUUCCAAGAGACAGAAUAAGAAAGUUAAAGACAACAAGAAAUGGGUCUGUAAGGCCCGAAGUGAGUGGUGUGGCAAACGACUGGACUCACUCACAUGAAUAUAAGGCUAAUCCAUUCAGGAACAGACUAAGUCUCGUCCUGACCUACUUGUCGUUUUUCUGUAAAGACCACUCGAGGUUUUAUCAACUUGAUCAACAGGUUUCCUUGUGAUUCAAGGGCCCAUGGCAUGUCUCUGGAUAAGCAGAUUGCCAUGGAUCGAGGUACUCGGCCCUGAGUGGAGAGAGUGAGGGAAUGAAGAACAGACAAACAGACAAACAGGCAGGCACAAGGAAAGCUGGGAUCAGGUAAUCUGAGCGUGGAAGGAAGGAGACGCACAGCCACGGGAGCUCAGCGUGUAUAUUAUCCAGAGGUGAAAAGGAGAGAGAAGCUUGUUAAAAGACAGGAUGCUGAAAGAGGAGAUGAAACAUUUCAACCUGAAGGGAAGUGCUUUAAGAUGCAGGAUGUAAAACAAUGAAAUGCUGGAAGAAGAGCUCAAACACUCCAUUCUUUAAAAAGGCUUCUUAAACUCAGGAAAUAAACAACUGAAUAACUUCAGAAAGUCCCUGAAACUGGCAAGAUUCUCUGCUGCCAUCCUUCUCCAAGCAUUUAUAAUCGUUGUGUAAUCUGAGAGCUAAGGCUCUAGCUGCAUUCAUCCCAAUAUGAAUAUACAAAUUUCUAUGUGUCAUUUGUUAAAGGGGCUGUCCUUUCUGCAAUGUGUAUUUUUGGCAAUUUUCUUUGAAGUAAAAUGACUUUAGCUUAUUGGGCU
rnacentral:lncRNA from 1 species